rnacentral:rRNA from 1 species
UCAACUUGAGAGUUUGAUCCUGGCUCAGAACGAACGCUGGCGGCAGGCCUAACACAUGCAAGUCGAGCGAGACCUUCGGGUCUAGCGGCGGACGGGUUAGUAACGCGUGGGAACGUACCCUUUUCUACGGAAUAGCCUUUGGAAACGAAGAGUAAUACCGUAUACGCCCUUUGGGGGAAUGAUUUAUCGGAGAAGGAUCGGCCCGCGUUAUAUUAGAUAGUUGGUGGGGUAAUGGCCUACCAAGUCUACGAUCUAUAGCUGGUUUUAGAGGAUGAUCAGCAACACUGGGACUGAGACACGGCCCAGACUCCUACGG